UACGAAGGGGGCAAGCGUUGUUCGGAAUUACUGGGCGUAAAGGGCUCGUAGGCGGCCAACUAAGUCGGAUGUGAAAUCCCCAGGCUUAACCUGGGAACUGCAUCCGAUACUGGAUGGCUUGAAUUCGGGAGAGGGAUGCAGAAUUCCUGGUGUAGCGGUGAAAUGCGCAGAUAUCAGGAGGAACACCGGUGGCGAAGGCGGGUCUCUGGGCCGAUACUGACGCUGAGGAGCGAAAGCGUGGGGAGCGAACAGG
rnacentral:rRNA from 1 species